GAUCCUGGCUCAGGAUGAACGCUAGCGACAGGCUUAACACAUGCAAGUCGAGGGGCAGCAUGAACUUAGCUUGCUAAGUUUGAUGGCGACCGGCGCACGGGUGAGUAACGCGUAUCCAACCUGCCUACCACUUGGGGAUAACCUUGCGAAAGUAAGACUAAUACCCAAUGACAUCCCACGAAGACAUCUGAAUGGGAUUAAAGAUUUAUCGGUGAUGGAUGGGGAUGCGU
rnacentral:rRNA from 1 species